UACCAGCACCCCGAGUGGUCGGGACGAUUAUUGGGCCUAAAGCAUCCGUAGCCGGUUCUACAAGUCUUCCGUUAAAUCCACCUGCUUAACAGAUGGGCUGCGGAGGAUACUAUAGAGCUAGGAGGCGGGAGAGGCAAGCGGUACUUAGUGGGUAGGGGUAAAAUCCGUUGAUCCAUUGAAGACCACCAGUGGCGAAGGCGGACUUGCCAGAACGCACUCGACGGUGAGGGA
rnacentral:rRNA from 1 species